GUAACAGCAGUGGUGGUGGUGGCAGUGGAAGGGAGAGAAACGUUGUCGUCUUGGGGUGUGUUGGUGGUGAAUUGGAAGUCCAUGGUUUCUGAAGCCUGCGUUUUCUUGGGUUUUCGGCCGCGUUUUCUGGGUUUGUUGUCCAUUAUUUUCUGGUUGUGCGCUUCAGGUGCUUGUUUUCUACUUUCAGGGGGGGUUUUGUUAUGCUAUUCUGGUGAUUGAUUCUGGGAAUCAAGGAAGAAGACAUAUGAGAAGAGAAUGGAGUGCCAUUUUC
rnacentral:misc_RNA from 1 species